rnacentral:snoRNA from 1 species
GAGAUCAUACUUCACAGAAUCAUUUCUGUAGUGUGUAUUUCUUCGCUAUCAGCGAAAAUGCGACGGAGCGCAGCCGCGAUGAUGUGGCAUGGCGUCAUCUCCUGAGCGGGAAGAAGUGUUUCGUUUUGACAUUUAUGUCAUGAACGUUACACUUGAUGACUGCAUGGAGAACCUUGCACAAGGUUUUUUGGAAGGAGUUGAUGCGUGCUGAGCGGUC